rnacentral:rRNA from 1 species
UAAUAUUAUUAUUAUUAUAUUAUUAGUUUAUUUAAUUUUUUAAAGAAAAUAAUUUUAUUUUAUUAAUUUUAAUUGAAAAAAUAUUUUUUAUAAUAGUUAAUUAGUAUUGUGAAAGAAUUAUUUUAAUUUUAUUAAAGAAUAAUAAAGUUUUGUACCUUGUGUAUCAGGGUUUAUUAAAUUAUAUUUAAUUAUUUAAAUUUUUCGAAGUUAGGAGAGUUAUAAUUGUAUAAUUUUUAUUGUUAAAUAACUAUUUUUAAUACAAUUAUGGCAGUGAAACGUUAUUCGAUUCUAAAUAUAUCUGAUUUUUAAAGAUAAAAUUAAAUUUUAAUUUUAUUUUAUUAUAAAGUUUAAUUCAUAAUUAUAUAGUAGUAAAAUUUAAUAAAAUAGGGGAUGAGCUUUAUUUUGUAUUUAUAUAAUAUUUAAUAUUGUAUUAAUUAAAUUAAAUAGGAUUAGUAGUUUAAGAUUUUCAUAGUGUUUUAUAACUAAGUUUAAUUAUAAUAUAAUUUUUAUUUUAUUUAUAUUUUUUAUUUAAGAUAAAACUUUAAUUUUAAAGGUUUUGUUAAAAUGAUAAAAUUAGUAUAUUAAUUUUUUUUUAUUUAGUAUAAAAAUUAGAUUAGUUAAAGGAACUCGGCAAAUAAAAUUUUCACCUGUUUAUUAAAAACAUGUCUUUUUGGUUUUAUUUUAAAGUCUAACCUGCCCAAUGAUUUAUUUAAUGGCCGCGGUAAUUUGACUGUGCAAAGGUAGCAUAAUCAUUUGUUCUUUAAUUAAGAGCUUGUAUGAAAGGUUUAAUGAGAAAUAAGCUGUCUCUUUCUAAAUUUAUAUAAUUUUAUUUUUAAGUUAAAAAGCUUAAAUAUUUAUAGAAGACGAGAAGACCCUAUAGAGUUUAAUAUAUUAAGUUAUUUUAUGUAAUUAGUAUUUAAUAUUUAAAUAAUUUAAAUUUAUUUAAUUGGGGUGAUUGAAAAAUAAGAUUAACUUUUUUUAUAGACUAACAUUUAUUUAUGGUUAAUUGAUCCUUUAUUUAAGAUUAUAAGAUUAAAUUACCUUAGGGAUAACAGCGUUAUUUUUUUUUAGAGAUCAAAUCGAAAAAAAAGAUUGCGACCUCGAUGUUGGAUUUAAAAUUAAAAUUUGGUGUAGCCGCUAGAUAUUUAGGUCUGUUCGACCUUUAAAAUUUUACAUGAUCUGAGUUUAAACCGGCGUGAGCCAGGUUGGUUUCUAUCUCUAUAAUAAUAACUUGUCUUAGUACGAAAGGACCGGAUGAGUAUUUAAUAAAUAUAUUUAUGAAUAUUAUUAA